rnacentral:rRNA from 1 species
ACCCGCUGAAANUUUAGCAUAUAACUAAGCGGAGGAAAAGAAACUAACAAGGAUUCCCCCAGUAACGGCGAGUGAAGCGGGAAGAGCUCACGUUGUGAAUCUGGCCUUCGGGCCCGAACUGUACCCUGGAGAGGCGAGGCCAGCCGCUGUCCGCGGCCAAGUCUGAUUGGAAAUAAGCAUCAAGGAGGGUGACAAUCCCGUCCAUGCCGCGGUAUUCACCAGCGCGCGUCCGGCCCGCUUUCGACGAGUCGAGUUGCUUGGGAUUGCAGCUCAAAGUGGGUGGUAAACUCCAUCCAAAGCUAAACACGGGGGGGAGACCGAUAGCGAACAAGUACCGUGAGGGAAAGAUGCAAAGAACUUUGAAAAGAGAGUUAAAGAGUGCCUGAAAUUGCUGGAAGGGAAGCGAAGGAAAGAAGUGUGCGGUAGCCCGGGCGCCAAUCCCCACCUGCCUCCCCUCGCGGGGGGGCGUGGGGGUAGGCCGCUCGGCCGCGGUCAGGGGAAGCGCUGAGCUCGUGGGAAGAGCCGCGGGGGAUCGGUAGGCGGCCCGCUUCGGCGGGGCGCUGUCAGGCCCCCGCGGUGUUGUUGUUGUCACGAAGGACGGCCCCCGUCUGGCGGUUGCGGCUUUUCUUCACCCCGUCUUGAAACACGGACCAAGGAGUCUAGCGUGGACGCGAGUAUAGGGGCGUGGAAACCCCCUUGCGAAAUGAAGGUGAACGCCGGUGGGAGGCGGCCGGCCGUUUGUUCGGGCGGGCGCCAGCACCAUCGACCGAGCGUGUCCCCCCGGGGGCAAGGCUUGCGUGUGAGCGUGCAUGCUGGGACCCGAAAGAUGGUGAACUAUGCCUGAAGAGGGCGAAGCCAGGGGAAACUCUGGUGGAGGCUCGUAGCGAUUCUGACGUGCAAAUCGAUCGUGAGAUUUGGGUAUAGGGGCGAAAGACUAAUCGAACCAUCUAGUAGCUGGUUCCCUCCGAAAUUUCCCUCAGGAUAGCAGCGGCCGAUGCAGAACAGUUUUAUCAGGUAAAGCGAAUGAUUAGAGGCUGCGGGGGAGUAACUCCCUCGCCCUAUUCUCAAACUUUAAAUGGGUAAGGAGCCGGGGUCGCUUGACUGGACCCUCGGCAUGGAAUGGCUGGUCGUUAGUGGGCCAGUCCGGGUAAGCUGGACUGGCGAUGCGGGAUGAACCGAACGCCUAGAUGAAGCGCCUCACUGCCCGCUCACCUAGAUCCCACAAAAGGUGUUGGUUCAUUCAGACAGCAGGACGGUGGCCAUG